GAUGAACGCUGGCUACAGGCUUAACACAUGCAAGUCGAGGGGAAACGACGGGGAAGCUUGCUUCCCCGGGCGUCGACCGGCGCACGGGUGAGUAACGCGUAUCCAACCUGCCUCUGACUGAGGGAUAACCCGUCGAAAGUCGGCCUAAUACCUCAUGGCAUCGUCUGCGGGCAUCCAACGACGAUUAAAGAUUUCAUCGGUCAGAGGUGGGGAUGCGUCUGAUUAGCUAGUUGGCGGGGUAACGGCCCACCAAGGCGACGAUCAGUAGGGGUUCUGAGAGGAAGGUCCCCCACAUUGGAACUGAGACACGGUCCAAACUCCUACGGGAGGCAGCAGUGAGGAAUAUUGGUCAAUGGGCGAGAGCCUGAACCAGCCAAGUAGCGUGCAGGAUGACGGCCCUAUGGGUUGUAAACUGCUUUUAUGCGGGGAUAAAGUGAGGGACGUGUCCUUCAUUGCAGGUACCGCAUGAAUAAGGACCGGCUAAUUCCGUGCCAGCAGCCGCGGUAAUGCGGAAGGUCCGGGCGUUAUCCGGAUUUAUUGGGUUUAAAGGGAGCGUAGGCCGUGGAUUAAGCGUGUUGUGAAAUGCAGGUGCUCAACGUCUGCACUGCAGCGCGAACUGGUCCACUUGAGUGUGCGCAACGCAGGCGGAAUUCGUCGUGUAGCGGUGAAAUGCUUAGAUAUGACGAAGAACUCCGAUUGCGAAGGCAGCUUGCGGGAGCACAACUGACGCUGAAGCUCGAAAGUGCGGGUAUCGAACAGG
rnacentral:rRNA from 1 species